rnacentral:lncRNA from 1 species
CUGGAACUACGAACAAGACUGUUAAGCUUCCUAAGAACUUCACGUUGCUUGGUCCUGGGCCUGGUUACUCUUGCGGUCCUGCCAAAAUAGUGCCGUCUACCGUUUUUCUCACUACUGACAAAAGGCGGAAGACACAAGCUUUGAGUAAGUAAAAUUAAAAGAGUAAAUCCAAUGUUCAAAAAUUUGUUAGAAAUGUAGUUAAUGAAUUAUUUUUGUUUAUUAUAUAUAUUUAUUUAACAUAUUUUAAGUUUUCUUUGUGUUUGACUAAUAAAUUUAAAUUUGAAAAAGUAUUUUGAUGUACAAAAAAUAAUAAAAAUAGAGAGAAAAUAUUCUUCACUUAUUUAUAUACACACUAAUGGUAAAGAUUUUUUCUUUUGCACUAAUGGUAAAGAUAUAAUUAAAUUAGUCAUAAUUGACUUUGAAUUUACUUGAUUUAACCAAUUUAGACCAAUUUAGAUCGAUUUAAAAUGAUUCAAAUAGUCUAGACUGAUUUAAACUGAUUUGAACAACUUAAAUUUAGUUUUUUUUAAGAAUUGUUUAUUUUACAAUAUUAGGUAAAUAAAAAAAACAUCACUGAUCUGUAAACAUCAUCUCAAUCUUAUUGCCUAUGCAGUGACAUGGAAUGUAACCUGCACAUACUCACAGUUUCUAGCCAGAAAGCAUCCAAGCUGUUGCGUCUCCUUCUCUUCUUUCUACAACGACACCAUAACUCCUUGCCCUUCUUGUGCCUGUGGUUGCGAGAACAAAAAGAGCUGCGUCAAGUGAGCAGAAAGAUAACACAAAUCACUUUAAAUACAUACUCCUUUCUUAAUCUUCUAAACUGAUAAAAAUCAUCAAUAACUUUGCUUGCAGGGCUGAUUCUAAGAUUCUAACCAAGAAAGGUCUCAACACACCGAGAAAAGACAACGCUCCUUUGCUACAAUGCACACACCACAUGUGCCCCGUUAGAGUUCACUGGCACGUUAAAACUAACUACAAAGACUAUUGGCGUGUGAAGAUAGCCAUCACAAAUUUCAAUUACCGGAUGAACCAUACACUAUGGACUUUAGCAGUUCAGCACCCAAAUCUCAACAACGUGACUCAAGUUUUCAGCUUCGAUUACAAAUCAGUUGCUCCUUAUGGAUCCAUAAGUAACUCUUCCUCUUUCUCUCUCUCUCUCUCGAACACUACAACUAUUCAGCCAAACAUUGAAAGACUGACACGUUAUGAUAUCUGUUUGUGCAGAUGAUACAGGAAUGUUCUUUGGAACUAAGUUUUACAAUGAUCUUUUGAUGGAAGCUGGACCUUCGGGGAAUGUUCAGUCAGAGGUGUUG